CCUACGGGCGUCAGCAGUGGGGAAUAUUGCACAAUGUGGGAAACCCUGAUGCAGCGACGCCGCGUGAGUGAAGAAGUAAUUCGUUAUGUAAAGCUCUAUCAGCAGGGAAGAAAAUGACGGUACCUGAGUAAGAAGCCCCGGCUAACUACGUGCCAGCAGCCGAGGUAAUACGUAAGGGUCAAGCGUUAUCCGGAUUUACUGGGUGGAAAGGGAGCGUAGACGGCAGUGCAAGUCUGGAGUGAAAGGCGGGGGCUCAACCCCCGGACUGCUCUGGAACAUGUACGGCUGGAGUGCAGGAGAGGUAAGUGGAAUUCCUAGUGUAGCGGUGAAAUGCGUAGAUAUUAGGAGGAACACCAGUGGCGAAGGCGGCUUACUGGACUGUAACUGACGUUGAGGCUCGAAAGCGUGGGGAGCAAACAGGAUUAGAUACCCCUGUAGUC
rnacentral:rRNA from 1 species